UGCUGCAUGGCUGUCGUCAGCUCGUGUCGUGAGAUGUUGGGUUAAGUCCCGCAACGAGCGCAACCCUUGUCAUUAAUUGCCAUCAUUAGGUUGGGCACUUUAAUGAGACUGCCGGUGACAAACCGGAGGAAGGUGGGGAUGACGUCAAGUCCUCAUGGCCCUUAUGGGUAGGGCUUCACACGUAAUACAAUGGCGCGUACAGAGGGUUGCCAACCCGCGAGGGGGAGCUAAUCCCAGAAAGCGCGUCGUAGUCCGGAUCGGAGUCUGCAACUCGACUCCGUGAAGUC
rnacentral:rRNA from 1 species